rnacentral:rRNA from 1 species
AGCGAACGCUGGCGGCAGGCUUAACACAUGCAAGUCGAACGGGCGUAGCAAUACGUCAGUGGCAAACGGGUGAGUAACGCGUGGGAACGUACCUUUUGGUUCGGAACAACCCAGGGAAACUUGGGCUAAUACCGGAUAAGCCCUUACGGGGAAAGAUUUAUCGCCGAAAGAUCGGCCCGCGUCUGAUUAGCUAGUUGGUGUGGUAACGGCGCACCAAGGCGACGAUCAGUAGCUGGUCUGAGAGGAUGAUCAGCCACAUUGGACUGAGACACAGCCAAACUCCUACGGGAGGCAGCGGUGGGAAUCUUGCGCAAUGGCCGAAAGGCUGACGCAGCGACGCCGCGUGUGGGAGGAAGCUCUUCGGGGUGUAAACCACUGUUGCCCGGGACGAACACGCCUA